GACGUAGGGGGCCAGCGUUGUUCGGAAUUACUGGGUGUAAAGGGUUCGUAGGCGGUGUAGCAAGUCGGGAGUGAAAUCUCUGGGCUUAACCCAGAGGCUGCUUCCGAAACUGCUGUGCUUGAGUGUGGGAGAGGCGCGUGGAAUUGCAGGUGUAGCGGUGAAAUGCGUAGAUAUUCGCAAGAACACCAGUGGCGAAGGCGGCUCACUGGCCCGGUACUGACGCUGAGGUGCGAAAGCGUGGGGAGCAAACAGG
rnacentral:rRNA from 1 species